rnacentral:tRNA from 1 species
AAGAUAAGGAAACCAAGCGAAGCUUCUAACUUUAGCUUGAAGUCAAUAGAUUUUUAUCUUU